rnacentral:rRNA from 1 species
GGUUUGAUUAUGGCUCAGAUUGAACGCUGGCGGGAUGCUUUACAUGCAAGUCGAACGGCAGCACGGACUUCGGUCUGGUGGCAGGUGACGAACGGGUGAGUAAUGUAUCGGAACGGUGGCCUAGUAGCGGGGGAUAACUACGCCGAAAGCGUAGCUAAUGCCGCAUACGCCCUUCGGGGGAAAGCGAGGACCUUCGGGCCUCACUAUUAAACGGCCGAUAUCGGAUUAGCUAGUUGGUGGGGUAACGGCUCACCAAGGCGACGAUCCGUAGCUGGUUUGAGAGGACGACCAGCCACACUGGGACUGAGACACGGCCCAGACUCCUACGGGAGGCAGCAGUGGGGAAUUUUGGACAGUGGGGAAACCUGAUCCAGCCAUCCCGCGUACGUGCGAUGAAGGCCUUCGGGUUGUAAAGCACUUUUGGCAGGAAAAAAACGGCACGGGAUAAUACCCCGUGCAACUGACGAAACACCUGCAGAAUAAGCACCGGCUAACUACGAUAUGCCAGCAACCGCGGUAAUACGUAGGGUGCAAGCGUUAAUCGGAAUUACUGGGCGUAAAAACGUGCGCGAGUAGUUCUCGAAGAAGUUGACAGGUCACCAAACUCAACACGGAACUGCGAUACCACCUAAUGCGGGAUAAAAGGUCUGCCUCUAAGGGGUUAAGUUCUGCAUUAUGUAGUCGUGCAUUCGAUAUAGAGAACACCGGGUAGCAGGGCGGCUCGCAAGAUGCAUGGCGUGCAGCGUCACGAAGACGUGAGGGAGCAAGCAGGAUUAGAUACCCUGGUAGUCCACGCCCUAAACGAUGUCAGGCGUGGCCGCUGAAGGCCGCUGACCAGUGUAGCAGCUCUUAUAUGAGAUUCGACCGUGGGGAGGUACGGUCGCCAGAUUGAAGCUCAAGGAUGGGGACCUUUCGGCGGUGGAUGAUGUGGAUUAAUUCGAUGCAACGCGAAAAACCUUACCUACCCUUGACAUGUCUGGGUCGAAGAGAUUUGGGGGUGCUCGCAAGAGAACCGGAACACAGGUGCUGCAUGGCUGUCGUGGCGUGUCGUGAGAUGUUGGGUUAAGUCCAUAACGAGCGCAACCCUUGUCGUGGUUGCUACGAAAGAGGGCACUGGCCGGGCUACCGGUGACAAACCGGAGGAAGGUGGGGAUGACGUCGAAGUCCUCAUGACCCUUAUGGUGGGCCCACACGUCAUACAAUGGUCGGGACAGAGGGUCGCCAACCCGCGAGGGGGAGCCAAUCCGAAACCCGAUCGUAGUCCGGAUCACAGUCUGCAACUCGACUGCGUGAAGUCAGAAUCGCUAGUAAUCGCGGAUCAGCAUGUCGCGGUGGAGCUGCAUUCCCCGGGUCUUAUACCACCGCCCGUCACCAUGGGAGUGGGUUUUACCAGAAGUAGUUAGCCUAACCGUAAGGAGGGCGAUUACCACGGUAGGAUUCAUGACUGGGGUGAAGUCGUAACAAGGUAA